rnacentral:rRNA from 1 species
CAGUUAAAAAGCUCGUAGUUGAAGUUCUGAUUGCUCAGGUUUCCAGCCUUAGGCGGAGAUACUGACAGUCAUCCGCUUGCAAACAUAUGUUCGAUCUUCACCGGUUGGCUAUGUGAGUAAGCACUUUACCUUGAGAAAAACAGAGUGUUCCAGGCAGGUUUGUCCGGGAUGCAUUAGCAUGGAAUAAUAGAACAUGACUGAAGUCGAUUUAUUGGUUUAAGGCUUUAGUAAUGAUUAAUAGGAACAGUCGGGGGCAUUCGUACUCAGCAGUCAGAGGUGAAAUUCUAAGAUUUGCUGAAGACGAACUAAUGCGAAAGCAUUUGCCAAGGAUGUUUUCAUUAAUCAAGAACGAAAGUUAGGGGAUCAAAGACGAUCAGAUACCGUCCUAGUCUUAACUAUAAACUAUGCCGACUCGGAUUCAGAUGAAUCAAAAUGUUCAUUUGGGACCGUAGGAGAAAUCAAAGUCUUUGGGUUCUGGGGGG